rnacentral:lncRNA from 1 species
GACGCCCGGGCCUCUACCACGUCCGCUCUUGACUAACCUGACCCACCCAAAACUCUUCACCCGCGUCCGCGCACGUUCCUACCCAUUAACGAAACAACGAUGCCGUCGGACGCAGACGCGACAUCACACAUGCGGGUGUUGGCGGCGUUGGCGGUCGAGGAUGAGAACUCCGCCAGCUACGCGUCUUACGCGACACCAUCCAACUUUCGAGGGAGGCGCAUGUGGCACGUGGACAGUGAUUGCUCGUCCACGUCCAUCAUCGACCUCACGUUCACCGGCACCGGCGACGGAUAGAUCGUGGGCUCCUUCGAGGAUGAGUAGGGUAUGGGAGGCGGCAAGGCCUAGCGACCCAUGUAGGUCGGUCUGUCUCCCAUGUCCUACUCUUUCUUACCAAAGACAACGCCUUCACUUCACGUGCCUUGAAACCCGCUAGCGCUCAUGCAGACAGCAGAUGGAGGAUGCGGUCGCCGAUGCGGCCAUAUGAUAGGAUUAGGUCUGGUCGCUCUUUUUUUAAUGAAAAUAAGUUUGAAUUGUAAUGAAUGUGCUCUUGUUUAUAUGAAAAUCAGUCAGUUUGGGUGAAUUACUUGUUAGGGAACGAAGCAUGGAAAACAAAAAAAUCCUACGAACAGCCAAGAUGUAAUCUAGGAAAUGGAUAUCAAUGAGAGGGGAGAGUGUGUCUACGUACCCUUGUAGAGCGUUAAGCGGGAGCGUAUAUAACGCGCUUGAUGUAGUCAUACUCGUUAAGAUCCAAUCGCAAUCCGAUCAGAUCUAGCGCUGAACGGGCGACACAUCCGCAUUCAGCACACGUGCGAUUCGAUGACGUCUCCACCUUGUUGAUCCAGCAAGUGAGGGCGGAGUAGUAGAUGGGAUCACCGACGACGCGGUGAUGUGUCGGCGAUGGUGGUGGUGCUAUUCCGGCAGGGCUUCACUGAGCACUACCGGAUACAUGAACGAUGGAGAAAACGAAGUAGCGGGAGAGGGAGGGCUGUGGCAAG